GUGCUCUUCUCUACGCACGGCACGAAACGACCGUUGCACUACUAUGCCGUGAUCCGCCGUGAUCGGUGAAUUGCUGGUAAGUUGACGAGAAGCGAGCGUCCAGCGUGAAUACAAGUAGGAGGGGAAAAAACGCUUCCGAGCACACACGUGCAGUCAAACCAGUCUCUUUCGUGUGCAACUGUGCUUGCUCGCUCUAGGCCUUCUCCAAGCUGUGUAUGGCUGAACGUCUGUACAACAAUCAGAACGACACCAGCGCGAGCGCGUUCACCGUCCACCACCACGGCAUUUACGUCUAACUGCGUAGUUUGUACGUUCGUACCACGAAUCUCUGCUUGAAGAAGGGUGGGGGCCAUGACUCGUGGCCGAUAUUGGACAGACCUUCAGAUAAGUGCAUCAGAUGGUCGAAGAUUGAUAACGAUAGAGUUAGCCACAAAGUUAACGGAGGAAGAAAACAGCCCACAAGGAACCUGUGUGUCGGCCCUACCGGAAAUUUAGGUGGUUUCUAGAUGAUAUCGUCUAGAAACACUUCAUCUAGAAUUGAACCUUUGCUAAAUUAUAACUAGACGACCGCUAGACUCAGAAGGGUCACCAUCCCUUUUUUAUGGGUACGCGUCUAGAGAACGUCAAGUGGGCAUCUCGGGAUCAUAUAGUGUAAAUCUAGGAAGAGUCUAGUGGGUAUUUAGGAAGCAUCUAGGGGGCAACUAGGAAGCCUCUAGUGCGCAUUUAGUCAUCGCAUAGUGUGAAUCUAGGAACGUAUACAAAAUAAUGUACGAAUAAAUAUUCUUUCUAACUUUAA